AACUGGAGCAUAGCCCGAAGAAAUUCGGAUUAAUACUCCAUAACACUAUGAACUGGCAUCUUUUUAUAGUUAAAGCUCCGGCGGUUAAAGAUGGGCAUGCGUAACAUUAGCUUGUUGGUGAGGUAACGGCUCACCAAGGCUACGAUGUUUAGGGGGUCUGAGAGGAUGGUCCCCCACACUGGUACUGAGACACGGACCAGACUCCUACGGGAGGCAGCAGUGAGGAAUAUUGGUCAAUGGGCGCAAGCCUGAACCAGCCAUGCCGCGUGAAGGAUGACAGCCCUAUGGGUUGUAAACUUCUUUUGUACGGGAAGAAACAUUUCUACGUGUGGAAACUUGACGGUACCGUACGAAUAAGCAUCGGCUAACUCCGUGCCAGCAGCCGCGGUAAUACGGAGGAUGCAAGCGUUAUCCGGAUUUAUUGGGUUUAAAGGGUACGUAGGCGGAAACUU
rnacentral:rRNA from 1 species